UACACACGCCCGUCACACCAUGGGAGUUGGUUCUACCUUAAGUCAGUGUGCUAACCGCAAGGGGCAGCUGACCACGGUAGGUCAGCGACUGGGGUG
rnacentral:rRNA from 1 species